ensembl:lncRNA
GUGAGCCAUAUAUAAUACAGUGUCUGGCAGAGGUGGAUACAAGCUGUUAAAGACAGGAGACUGGAGAAUGAGGAUUUUUAAUAGACAGGAGUUCACAGAUGGGUUGGGAACAUAUAUUUCUUUUAUGAUCUUGGUCUUGGUUGUUACGAUUGUUCUUCCCUUCAACCUGGUCCCACAGCCACGUCACCCUAAAUGAACACACAGACACUGUAUUAAUUAUAAUACUGUUGGCCAAUGACUAGGGCUUCUUUUUGGCUAGCUGUGUCUUAAUUAUUAACCCAUAACUACUAAUCUAUGCAUUUCUACAUGGUCUUAUCUUACCGGAAAAUGCCUGACUCGAGUCCUCUCUUCCCUGGCUCACAUUUUGACUCCUCUCUGCCUACACCUCCUAGAAUUCUCUUUGUCUGGUAGCCCCACCUACCCUUCCUGCCGGCCACUAGCCACACAGUGCUUUAUUCAUUAACCAAUAAGAGAAAUGUGUGUACAGAAGACAUCCCCAUCAGUGGUUGCAGUCUAAAAUCAAGCAGGGUUACAUACAGCUUAAUUGUCAUUUUCUACAAAUUUCUCUUAAGAAUUACAGGACAAAGAAAGGCUUUUUUUUUUUUUUUAACUUAACAGGGUCUUGUCCCAUAAUCCUGGAGUUAACCAAGCUUUUACAUGCCAUGUGUGGGACUAGAGAUAUAGCAUAGUGGUAGAGUGUUGGCCUAGCUUGUACCAAAUCCUAGGUUCAGUCCUUAGCACCAGGAAGCACAGCAAAACAAAACCAAGAAACACAAUUGUGUUUGGAUACAUUUUUCUCAUUUAUCUAAUUUGCAUACUUUGAGGCUAAGCUGUUAAGAUAGUUUUGGCUGGUGAGAUGAAAAAUGAAUCUACUUAUUAGGAGGAUAGUGGGCAAAAGCAUAUCGCCUAUUUUUGACAAGUUAUUCCCAAACAUAACAAUGGAAUGUGUCUUCUAGGGAUUCCAUAAAAAUACUCCUAGCAGCUCACACAGUGGCAAUUAAUUUUCUCCCAGUAGGGAUGCUGUCAGGCCAAGGUCAAGGUGUUAGCUGGCCUGGUUUCUUCAGAGGGCAUUCUCUUCAGUGUGUAGAUAGAUGUCUUUCCUCUCUGCGUAUUCAUAUAGCCUGGUAUCUCUUUCUCUUCUUUUAAGGGUACUAGUUAUAUGGGAUCAGGCCUACCCUCAGGACCUUAGUUUACCUCUUUAAAAGUCCUAUUCCAAACACAGUUAAAGUGGGACCAGGGCUUCAGGGUUGUUGAUACCAAGAUGAAACUGUGUUUGUCAGGCUCAGGAUGCUGUAAAGGGGAACUCACAUUUGCCUGUGUGUUCUAAGUCUGUACAAAAUGCACAAGAAGUCCUUCCAUUAUGUACAUACUGUGCACACCUCUAGUAGUCUUUAAAACUGUGUGGAUAUAGGAAAACAAAAUGUUCAGGACAGAUGAAACUUUACCCUGCCAUGGUGUCUCCACCAGCGAGCUAGUUCCAGCUUACUUAUCUCAAGUCUCCAAGACCAUUGACUUUUUGUGUCUGCGCAGUAAGAAUUUUCCCCUUCCGGUAUGAAUGACAACUCCUCUUAGGCUUCCUUCCUCUGGUGCAAAUGGGGCCCAGAAUAGUGUCCAAAUUGGACUGUGACUAUGAAUAACUUUCCCCUUAGUAUUGAAAGAUUUUAGUUCACAGAGAGAAAAGUUUCCCACAGGCCUCGGCCCAUUACAAGGAAUUUGGCCCCAACCCAGUGCACACUCUGUGCUUUAGAGGGGUCGAUCACUAAAACAACCCUCUUUGGGUCACACCUGGCUGGCCAAUAGACAAUCAGGGACUUUCCAGAAGUACAUUCUGUGGUUUUUCCUUUUUAGGAAAGCACCUGGGUGACCUCUCUAACAUGAGAUCAUACUUUGUAAUCAAUCACUUUGUGCCCCUUGCCUGUAUGCCAAUCUACGUUUUUUUUUCCUAUAAAAAGAGCUUGCACCCCGUGCUGGGGUGUGCAGCUUUCUCAGUAUUGCUGACACCCGAAUGUGCAUUCGUUCAAUAAACUCUCUUGCUUUUGCAGCUCUUGGUCUGGUUUCUGAGUCUUGGGGGCUUCUCGGGAUCCUGAGGCCCUUAGGGGUCUUUCAUUUGGCGAGCCAGCCAGGAGACUGAGGAGACCCCAGACUCAUUACCACAACGGAGAGGAGGCAGGACCGGGCUCAGACUGUGGACAGGCUACAGGACACUGGAGAAUUGAUUGCACCACCUUUGCCUAGACAAAAUAAGAUUUCCACUUCUGGUAGAAGAAUAUCAGUUGCUGACUACAGCCUGCUCCUAAAGACUUCAAGCCCUAGACUUGCUGUGGAUGUGAACCAGUCCAGCUGAUAUGGACACCACCUAUCUCUGCAACAGAGUCUGCCACCCAGAAGCUCCUAAUGAAUUCCCUGUAGGGGAAGCUGUAGCCACGUCUACUUAGGGGCUGGCUACAGGUGCCUGACCACGCUUUCGAGGGCGUGGUCAGGGUGAUGUAGUGUGACUGUGUUUUCUCUUUCGCUCUCUCUUUUGGGCUUGUGUACAGACCGCUGCCACGCCGGCUGACUAUGUCACUCUGUAAGUGAGGCUUUUCCCUAUUAAAUACCCUUAUAUUUCUACCUGACUCUGUAUUGGUAAUUUCCCACUAUAAUUCCCCAUUGCCUAAAUUCCCUUUUUGCUUUUGACUAGCAUUUCAGCCUUCUUGGGUCCCUAACUUCGUCCCAAAGUUAGCAGGAAGUAGAAUGGGAAAGAAUACGUCCCCCAUUUUCCCUGGUUAAAAUGCUAAGUCAAAAGGAACUCCCUUACAUGGAGGAAUGCCAAUAUCUGUCACUCCCUGAUGGUGACUCCGAGAUGGCGGCCAGGGUCGGCAUCGGAACUGCAGCACUGGUCCAUGGACCCAGCCACUAUAAUGAGCUGAAAAUGGCCAUAGAUGAGGAUAUUAAGGCCAUAAAAGGGUCCAUCACUAAACUAGAAAAAUCUUUGGCCUCUCUGGUGGAAGUUGCUCUUUAGAAUCAUAGGGGGCUUGAUCUUCUUUUCUUUAAGGAAGGCAGACUCUGUGCUGCCCUAAAAGAGGAGUGCUGUUUCUAUGUUAAUCAUUCUAGACUUAUUAGAGAUUCCAUGGCCAAAUUCAGGGAAAGACUCAACCAUCGACGGAAGGAAUGAGAGUCCCAACAAGGCUGGUUUAAAGGAUGGUUUAACGGAUCCCCUUGGCUUACUACCCUAGUUUCCACACUCGUGGGACCCCCGCUUAUUCUUUUACUACUACUUACUUUUGGGCCAUGCAUUCUUAAUCACCUACUCCGAUUUAUUAAAGAAUGCUUAUCCAUAAUCCAAGCCCUAGUUCUUAAUCAGGCAAUAAGAAGGACCUAAGUUUUAGGAUUAAAACCUCACAAAAAGAAAUGGGGGAAUGAAAGAUUUUAGUUCACAGAGAGAAAAGUUUCCCACAGGCCUCGGCCCAUUACAAGGAAACUGGCCCCAACCCAGGGCAAACUCUGUGGUUUAGAUGGGAGUGAUCACCAAAACAACCCUCUUUGGGUCACACCUGGAUGGCCAAUAGACAAUCAGGGACUUUCCAGAAGCACAUUCUGUGGUUUUUCCUUUGUAGAAAAGCAGGUCACACCUGGGUGACCUCUCUAACACAAGAUCAUACUUUGUAAUCAAUCACUUUGUGCCCCUUUCCUGUAUGCUGAUCUGCGUGUUUUUUUUUUUCCUAUAAAUAGAGCUUGCACCCCAUGCUGGGGUGGGCUGCUUUCUCAGUAUUGCUGACACCUGAAUGUGCAUUCGUUCAAUAAACUCUCUUGCUUUUGUAGCUCUUGGUCUGGUUUCUGAGUCUCGGGGACUCCUCAGGAUCCUGAGGCCCUUAGGAGUCUGGGGUCUUUCAGUAUCUCUUCAGUUCUGACCCAAACAUCCCUUAUCUCAUAAUUACCUUGGGGCCGGAAUUCAGGAACAUUUUAGCUGGUGGCUCUGCUGUAGUUCGUCCCAUGAAGUGGUGGUCAGGAUGAUGGUGUGAGCCUGGGAGAGCUGCUUUCAAAGUGGCGCAUUCAAGUGAUGUAUUAAUUUACAGUGAUUGCAACGAAGUAGCCCAAGCAGGGUAGCGUAUGCUUAUUGGUUGUUUCAGAAAGUUAAAAGUACAAAAUGAAGGUGCAAAAUAAGGUAGGCUCUCUCUGACAAACACAUGAUGAUUAUUUAUUUGUCUUCUGUGUUCUGGUGGCUUACUUUCAAACUUUUGCUUUUGUUGACUAAUGAUUGACUGUAACUCUUGUGCCAGUGCCAGAGUCUCCGGUACUUGGACUUAGUCGGACUGGGCUAUGAUUUACCUUAACGUUGUUUUCCUUGCCCCCGUGUAUAUAUGUCACACCAUAAGUCUGGAACUCAAAUCACCAGCACUAGACCAACUCUGAUGCAAAAACCAAGAGUCUCUGAGAGUUAACUCCGGUCCCUCCAUCUGUCUGAAGCUGCGGGGGCAGCAACAACGACAUCAUCAUCAUCAUCAUCAUUAUCCACAGCAGCGGCAGGAGAACGGAGUAGGAGAGACUCAGAAUGUUGAGGGAAAGUCUCCUUCCUUCCUUCCUUCCUUCCUUCCUUCCUUCCUUCCUUCCUUCCUUCCUUCCUUCCUUCCUUCCUUCCUUCCUUCCUUCCUCUCUCCUUUCCUUCCUUUAUAGAGGAAAAGACCUGGGGGAAUUCCAAGCCUCCAGGCUUGUGAUUGGCUGCCCCCUUAUGGGAU